rnacentral:rRNA from 1 species
GUCGAGCGAAGCGCUUCGUUUUGAAUCUUCGGAGGAAGAACGGAAUGACUGAGCGGCGGACGGGUGAGUAACGCGUGGGCAACCUGCCUCAUACAGGGGGAUAACAGUUAGAAAUGACUGCUAAUACCGCAUAAGACCGCGGUACCGCAUGGUACAGCGGUAAAAACUCCGGUGGUAUGAGAUGGGCCCGCGUCUGAUUAGCUAGUUGGCGGGGUAACGGCCCUCCAAGGCGACGAUCAGUAGCCGACCUGAGAGGGUGACCGGCCACAUUGGGACUGAGACACGGCCCAAACUCCUACGGGAGGCAGCAGUGGGGAAUAUUGCACAAUGGGGGAAACCCUGAUGCAGCGACGCCGCGUGAGCGAUGAAGUAUUUCGGUAUGUAAAGCUCUAUCAGCAGGGAAGAAGAUGACGGUACCUGACUAAGAAGCCCCGGCUAACUACGUGCCAGCAGCCGCGGUAAUACGUAGGGGGCAAGCGUUAUCCGGAUUUACUGGGUGUAAAGGGAGCGUAGACGGCGGUGCAAGCCAGAUGUGAAAGCCCAGGGCUCAACCCCGGGACUGCAUUUGGAACUGUAUGGCUGGAGUGUCGGAGAGGCAGGCGGAAUUCCUAGUGUAGCGGUGAAAUGCG